AGCGGAAGUGCUCGUUGUGGGUGCACAAGGCGCGUUCGAGCAGCGGCGACCGAGGCGGCGAAGGAGCGCGCCAUGGAGCAUGUGACAGAGGGCUCCUGGGAAUCGCUGCCUGUGCCGCUGCACCCGCAGGUGCUGGGCGCGCUGCGGGAGCUGGGCUUCCCGUACAUGACGCCGGUGCAGUCCGCAACCAUCCCUCUGUUCAUGCGAAACAAAGAUGUCGCUGCAGAAGCGGUCACAGGUAGUGGCAAAACACUCGCUUUUGUCAUCCCCAUCCUGGAAAUUCUUCUGAGAAGAGAAGAGAAGUUAAAAAAGAGUCAGGUUGGAGCCAUAAUCAUCACCCCCACUCGAGAGCUGGCCAUUCAAAUAGACGAGGUCCUGUCGCAUUUCACGAAGCACUUCCCCGAGUUCAGGUGAAUUGGAUGCAGUGUCCCUGUUAGCCAUGGGCUGUUUUGUCGAACUUAAUCAAAGGCUGUUUUCUUGUUGUAGCCAGAUUCUUUGGAUCGGAGGCAGGAAUCCUGGAGAAGAUGUUGAGAAGUUUAAGCAACAAGGGUGAGUUUGCUCGUGUCUGCUUGUUUCUUUGCUUGCUUUUGGCAUUGAACCUAAGAAUCGAUGUGUGAUCUCAGCCUAACUGUGGGUCCCCCUUUCAGCAGCCUCCUCCCCCUGCAAAAAGGUGUUUUCUCCAGGCCAGCUUCCCAUUGUGCUUUGCUGGCUCCUUCCCAUAAGGCCCUGAUGAGAACUUCACAAACUCAGGUUCUUACAGAGGUCAAGAGAACGACGGGAAGAUAAAUGAGUGGUCAGGAUAGCUGAGCUCGGGGCUGGGGGAUGGUGAGGAACUGGCCAGCAGCUGCCUUGAAUACUCAGCUCCAGCUGGUAGUUGCCUGGGAGGACUCGGCUCAGUAGUGGCAGGUUUUGAAUUUUUUAAAAAGAAGAUGGAAUUCCAGAUUUGUGUGUGUAAUCUCCUGAUUUUUUAACUGUUGGCGUGUAAUCCACAUUUGAAAAACACAUCUUGUAGGUGAGCCAGUCUGAGGGAGCCACAUCUGGCCCUGAGUCUGCCAGUUUGUGAUCUUUACAUAGGAUUCUCUAAUUCUGUCAACAUUUCCAUUUUACAUGUGAGUUACCUGGGACCUACAAUGGUUGAGUAACUUGCGUAGGUCAGAGGUUGGUAAGCUUUUUUUGUAAAGGAGCAGAUGGUAAAUGUUUUCGGCUUUGUGAACCAUAUGGUCUCCAUCACAGUUACUCAACUGCUGUUGUAGUGUGAAGGCAGCGAUAGACAACAUGUGAAUAAAUGGGCGUGGUUGUCUGCCAAUAAAAUACUUGGCAAGGACAGGCAGCAGCCCAGGUUUGGUCCGGGAGCUGGAGUUUGCCAACCUUGCCUGGGUCAUAGCCCAGAACCCAGAUCCCGUCUCACCACAGCCCUGUCUUUCUACCCUGCAGCACUCUUCCACUCUCAUGCCCUUCGUUCUCUUCACUAGGGCUUAAAUGACUUUGGGGGGAUAUAAAACUUGGUAUUUUGGUAAUCAUCAACCACAUUCCCAAGAUCCAGAGAGUUUGGUAAAUGUUAACUUUCUUUCCAAAGUGGGAACAUCAUUGUGGCCACUCCAGGCCGCUUGGAGGACAUGUUCCGGAGGAAGGCCGAAGGCUUGGAUCUGGCCAGCUGUGUGCGAUCCCUGGAUGUCCUGGUGUUGGAUGAGGCAGACAGACUUCUGGACAUGGGGUUUGAGGCAAGCAUCAACACCAUUCUGGAGUUUUUGCCAAAGCAGAGGAGAACAGGCCUUUUCUCUGCCACUCAGACGCAGGAAGUGGAGAACCUGGUGAGAGCGGGCCUCCGGAACCCUGUCCGGGUCUCAGUGAAGGAGAAGGGCGUGGCAGCCAGCAGUGCCCAGAAGACCCCCUCCCGCCUGGAAAACUACUACAUGGUAUGCAAGGCAGAUGAGAAAUUUAAUCAGCUGGUCCAUUUUCUUCGCAAUCAUAAGCAGGAGAAACACCUGGUCUUCUUCAGCACCUGUGCCUGUGUGGAAUACUAUGGGAAGGCUCUGGAAGUGCUGGUGAAGGGCGUGAAGAUUAUGUGCAUUCAUGGAAAGAUGAAAUAUAAACGCAAUAAGAUCUUCAUGGAGUUCCGCAAAUUGCAAAGUGGGAUUUUAGUGUGCACUGAUGUGAUGGCCCGGGGAAUUGAUAUUCCUGAAGUCAACUGGGUUUUGCAGUAUGACCCUCCCAGCAAUGCAAGUGCCUUCGUGCAUCGCUGCGGUCGCACAGCUCGCAUUGGCCACGGGGGCAGCGCUCUGGUGUUCCUCCUGCCCAUGGAAGAGUCAUACAUCAAUUUCCUUGCAAUUAACCAAAAAUGCCCCCUGCAGGAGAUGAAGCCCCAGAGAAACACAGCGGACCUUCUGCCAAAACUCAAGUCCAUGGCCCUGGCUGACAGAGCUGUGUUUGAAAAGGGCAUGAAAGCCUUUGUGUCAUAUGUCCAAGCUUAUGCAAAGCAUGAAUGCAACCUGAUUUUCAGAUUAAAGGCCUUGCUCAAGGUUUUGCCCUGCUGAGGAUGCCCAAGAUGCCAGAAUUGAGAGGAAAGCAGUUUCCAGAUUUUGUGCCCGUGGACGUUAAUACCGACACGAUUCCAUUUAAAGAUAAAAUCAGAGAAAAGCAGAGGCAGAAACUCCUGGAGCAACAAAGAAGAGAGAAAACAGAAAAUGAAGGGAGAAGAAAAUUCAUAAAAAAUAAAGCUUGGUCAAAGCAGAAGGCCAAAAAAGAAAAGAAGAAAAAAAUGAAUGAGAAAAGGAAAA
rnacentral:sRNA from 1 species